UACGGGGGGGGCAAGCGUGUUCGGAAUUACUGGGCGUAAAGGGCUCGUAGGUGGCCAACUAAGUCAUACGUGAAAUCCCUCGGCUUAACCGGGGAACUGCGUCUGAUACUGGAUGGCUUGAGUUUGGGAGAGGGAUGGCGGAAUUCCAGGUGUAGCGGUGAAAUGCGUAGAUAUCGUAAGGAAGACCAGUGGCGAAGGCGGGUCUCUGGACAGUUCCUGACGCUGAGGCACGAAGGUCAGGGGAGCAAACGGG
rnacentral:rRNA from 1 species